rnacentral:rRNA from 1 species
UACAGAGGUCUCAAGCGUUGUUCGGAUUCAUUGGGCGUAAAGGGUGCGUAGGCGGCGCGGUAAGUCGGGUGUGAAAUCCUUGGAGCUUAACUCCGAAACUGCAUUCGAUACUGCCGUGCUUGAGGACUGGAGAGGAGACUGGAAUUUACGGUGUAGCGGUGAAAUGCGUAGAUAUCGUAAGGAAGACCAGUGGCGAAGGCGGGUCUCGUGGACAGUUCCUGACGCUGAGGCACGAAGGCCAGGGGAGCAAACGGG